rnacentral:tRNA from 1 species
GUGGGAAUGGUGUAAUGGCUAACACGUCAGUCUCCAAAACUGAAUAUCUGGGUUCGAUUCCCAGUUCCCGCG